rnacentral:rRNA from 1 species
GACGAACGCUGGCGGCGUGCUUAACACAUGCAAGUCGAACGGAAAGGCCCUGCUUUUGUGGGGUGCUCGAGUGGCGAACGGGUGAGUAACACGUGAGUAACCUGCCCUUGACUUUGGGAUAACUUCAGGAAACUGGGGCUAAUACCGGAUAGGAGCUCCUGCUGCAUGGUGGGGGUCGGAAAGUUUCGGCGGUUGGGGAUGGACUCGCGGCUUAUCAGCUUGUUGGUGGGGUAGUGGCUUGCCAAGGCUUUGACGGGUAGCCGGCCUGAGAGGGUGACCGGCCACAUUGGGACUGAGAUACGGCCCAGACUCCUACGGGAGGCAGCAGUGGGGAAUAUUGCACAAUGGGCGGAAGCCUGAUGCAGCAACGCCGCGUGUGGGAUGACGGCCUUCGGGUUGUAAACCGCUUUCGCCUGUGACGAAGCGUGAGUGACGGUAAUGGGUAAAGAAGCACCGGCUAACUACGUG